ACGAGCCACAUGCAGGGAAACUUGCACGUGUGGUUCCGGCCGGGGACCCCGGU
rnacentral:ncRNA from 1 species